rnacentral:rRNA from 1 species
UACGUAGGGUGCAAGCGUUGUCCGGAAUUAUUGGGCGUAAAGAGCUCGUAGGCGGUUUGUUGCGUCGGCUGUGAAAUCCCGAGGCUCAACCUCGGGUCUGCAGUCGAUACGAGCAAACUAGAGUGUUGCAGGGGAGACUGGAAUUCCUGGUGUAGCGGUGAAAUGCGCAGAUAUCAGGAGGAACACCGGUGGCGAAAGCGGCGUGCUGGACCUCUUCUGACGCUGAGGCGCGAAAGCGUGGGGAGCGAACAGG